rnacentral:tRNA from 1 species
GGUCUCAUGGUUUAGGGGUUAGGACAUUGGACUUUGAAUCUAAUAACUCAAGUUCAAAUCUCUAUGAGACCU